rnacentral:sRNA from 1 species
UGAAAGGUUCUAGGUCUCCUAAUUACCCACAGAUGGGACUAGCACAGGCACAAGCAGGGCAAAUUUCCCACAUACCACCAUUGUGCCUCAGCCCUGCCCUGAAGGGGCCACCCUAAGGAGUGAGAUGUGAGUACUGGCUCUGUGCCCUGUUCAAAAUUUGCAGAU